CGGGGUGUGGCUCAGCUUGGCUAGAGCGCCUGGUUUGGGACCAGGAGGUCGCAGGUUCGAAUCCUGUCUCCCCGA
rnacentral:tRNA from 1 species